GCACACAGUCUCCUGCACAGAGGGUGAACCAAAUGAUGAAGACACUCUGUCUGUGUGUUCUGAGACAGUUGCUGAGGAUUUUUCACAACCUGCCCCAGAAACUGAAGCCU